GUAGAAUGGCAACCACACAUAGCGACGUUUGAAAAUAGUCACAAGUUCAAAGUUAAAAAAUUAUUUUGUAGUUAUUUGUAUCUACAAGUCAAAUCGUCGGGAAAACGAGUUAAUAGCCACAAUUUUUUUGGCUAAUUAUUUUUUUUUCUGGUAGUGAUAGCUCAUCUUAGACAAUGUUAGAAACACAUUACACUUUUUUAAUUCAAAAAGGCUAUACGGAUCCUACCCACCUUAUGUCAGAAAAAGAAGUGGAUGAACAUGAUGUGAAAUAUGGAAUGCUGAUGCAUUGACUAAGUUGAGGUGAUCCAUAAGUGUACAAUCUAACCACUAGAGAAAUAGCUACCUUGUUAGGUUGGUGAGUUAAUUUUUUUUUUUAAUUUGUAAUAUGUUUUCUUCUGCUUUCUUCUUUUCUCAUGCUUUUACUAGUGUUUUUUCUCUGGAUCUUAGCAAAUGUGGUGGCAAAUCUAACUCUUUUUCGGUAUGUAUGUUUCGGUUUGAAGUUCUCCAGUGGUGGUUGCUCUUCUAUGGUAUUAAUGAGGUAAUUCACUCAUCUGUCGGUGCAGAAAUGGUGGUGGAGCUUUUUGGGGUGGAGUUUGCUAGUUCCACUGGUUAUGUCUAGUAUAACUCCGUUUUGGAGGACAGCGAGGGUACUUAAAGGGAGAAAUGCUGGUGGCUGUUCUUAGAACUAAGAUUUCAAAACCGAUCAGCUCUGUUUCUCCUUUUUAUGCCGUCAUGCUUUUUAAAAUGUCCAUUCUCUCGUAGUGCUUCAGCUAAGGUGCUUUCAUGUUUCUCUCGUAUACCUUCACUAAGCUAGGGUUGGCUCAGUCACCAGUCGGUUUUCUCCAUUGUUGUGGUGGCAUCUUGAUGUAGAUAAAUAUUUGGGAUAUUUCCAAAUAUUUGUUAUUUAGUUUAUUAAUUAUUUAGAUAAUUAUUUUUAUUAUUUUCGGGUUUUAUGGUGUUUUUAUAUAUAGCCGUCUAGGCUUAAGUUUGUAUUCAGUUUAUGAUUUGAUUGAUUAUUAAUAAAAUUCUCUUUUGUUC